rnacentral:rRNA from 1 species
GAUGAACGCUGGCGGCGUGCCUAAUACAUGCAAGUCGAGCGAACAGACGAGGAGCUUGCUCCUCUGACGUUAGCGGCGGACGGGUGAGUAACACGUGGAUAACCUACCUAUAAGACUGGGAUAACUUCGGGAAACCGGAGCUAAUACCGGAUAAUAUAUUGAACCGCAUGGUUCAAUAGUGAAAGACGGUUUUGCUGUCACUUAUAGAUGGAUCCGCGCCGCAUUAGCUAGUUGGUAAGGUAACGGCUUACCAAGGCAACGAGGCGUAGCCGACCUGAGAGGGGGAGCGGCCACAAGGGAACUGAGACCCGGCCCAGACUCCUACGGGAGGCAGAAGUAGGAAAUCUGCCGCAAGGGGCGAAAGCCGGACAGAGCAACGCCGCGUGAGGGAUGAAGGCCUUGGGAUCGUAAAACUCUUUUAUUAGGGAAAAAGAAAUGUGUAAGUAACUAGGGACGUCGUGAGGGUACUGAAAAAGAAAGCCGGGGAAAACUACG